rnacentral:lncRNA from 1 species
CACCCGACUGGCCUCCCACCAGUGGUCUCUCUCCUCUCCGCGGCUAUUUCUACAGCUAGUGCAUUGCCCACCCCACCCCACCCCAUCAGCACUGUGCCCUACCAGUUCUGAUCAGAUGCUUCUGCUGCAGGGCUCCCUCAACGCCCUACUCUCUAGGGCCUGAGCCAGAAUGCACAGCAGCACUUGGGGAGGGCCUGGUAACGGCUGGGAGGAGAUGGCCUGAGCAGAAAUGAAGCUAGGUGGGUGUGAGGUACCAGGAGUCCUAGGAGACAAUGCCUGGUAGGGGACACGCUCUACAUUUAUAGAGCUCUCUGAUACAAUCAUCCUGUAAUAAAUGCCUGUUGGGUAAGUGA